rnacentral:rRNA from 1 species
UACGGGGGGGGCAAGCGUUGUUCGGAAUUACUGGGCGUAAAGGGCGCGUAGGCGGCCUGCUAAGUCGGACGUGGAAUCCCUCGGCUCAACCGGGGAACUGCGGCCGAUACUGGCGAGCUUGAAUCCGGGAGAGGGAUGUGGAAUUCCAGGUGUAGCGGUGAAAUGCGUAGAUAUCUGGAGGAACACCGGUGGCGAAGGCGGCAUCCUGGACCGGUAUUGACGUUGAGGCGCGAAAGCCAGGGGAGCAAACGGG